UACAGAGGUCUCAAGCGUUGUUCGGAUUCAUUGGGCGUAAAGUGUGCGUAGGUGGCGGGGCCAGUCAGGUGUGAAAUCCCGGGGCUUAACCCUGGAACUGCAUUUGAUACUGCCUUGCUGGAGAACUGGAGAGGAGACUGGAAUUUACGGUGUAGCAGUGAAAUGCGUAGAGAUCGUAAGGAAGACCAGUGGCGAAGGCGAGUCUCUGGACAGUUACUGACACUGAGGCACGAAGGCCAGGGGAGCAAACGGG
rnacentral:rRNA from 1 species